rnacentral:rRNA from 1 species
UACGAAGGGGGCUAGCGUUGCUCGGAAUCACUGGGCGUAAAGCGCACGUAGGCGGCUCUUUAAGUCAGGGGUGAAAUCCUGGAGCUCAACUCCAGAACUGCCUUUGAUACUGGGGAUCUCGAGUCCGGAAGAGGUGAGUGGAACUCCGAGUGUAGAGGUGAAAUUCGUAGAUAUUCGGAAGAACACCGAUGGCGAAGGCAGCCAUCUGGACCGACACUGACGCUGAGGCGCGAAAGCGUGGGGAGCAAACAGG